GCAGACGGCCCGCAAGUCCACCGGC
rnacentral:piRNA from 1 species